CUAGUACUCCCUCCGUCUCAAAAUUCUUGUCUUACAUUUGUCUAAAUACAGAUGUACCUAAUACUAAAACGUGACUUCAUACAUCCGUAUUUGGACAAAUCUAACACAAGAAUUUUGGGAUGGAGGGAGUACCAC
rnacentral:pre_miRNA from 1 species